AUUUGAACUGUCUGUUGCUCUAGGUCUUUUAACUUUAAAUCGUUUUUUAGAAGCUUCCUAUUUUUGAAGUAUAUGUACGCCAUAAUUUAAAAUCUAUUAUAUCAAUCGUUUAGAAAUUGUACAAGGCUUCUUCAGCAAAAAUCGAGUUUUUGUCCUCCAAGUGCUACGAAAAAUUGAAAAAUCGGCAAAAAAAUCUCUCCACGUUUACCUCGAGAAACAUUUUUACCGAAUGCAUUUUGAUUUUUGCGUUUCAAAUGAUUCUAUCGGGCAAUAUCGUGUACACCGUAAAACAAUUAUUACCCGAAGUACCUUCGGAGAUUCACUGUCACUCGUUCAAUUUUAAAUUUUUUGCAAUAGAAAUUUCGGCAAAUCUUGUUCGAUUGUUUCGUUAUUAUAUGGAAAUUGACUAAAUAAGUUGGCACUACUUGCUCCUGCAAAAAUCUUAAAAA